ensembl:lincRNA
UGAAGAUCUUAAGAGCUUCCUGCUUGGGAAGAGACUUAAUAAGAAUUAUAGUUAAGGUUUGGGAUAGAUCAAGAGUCUUAGAAACAAAUGCUGACUCCCUGUUGAUAGAGAAAUCAUUUUAAGCUCUCUCAACCUCUGCUUUCCAUUGUAUAGGUCAGAAUUGCAUGUCUUGUCAGGAUUGUUGUACAGAAGAUAUGGAAUAGUGCCAGAGAACUGGAGAGGGCUCUUCCCUUCUGUGGUUGUCACUUUCUGGUCUCCAUCAGACAUGCUUCUUCUCCGUUGUAUUUCCUUUUACAUUUUCCCUCUGUCUGCUUCAG